AAUUAAUUUAAAGAAUUUUUUUCGAAUAUUAAAAUUUGACUUGAUUCUUGAUUCGAAUCUUGAUUAUACAACCUAAAAUUAUCAUUCGUAUCUCUACAUUUUCUAAGUAUACAUUAAAUCACGUUAUAGUCCUUAAUUAUAAGUGUGUUAGUAUAUUGUAUAAUACUUUCUAAUUAAUGACUAUAUAAUUAAAAAAUAGCUAAAAUGUAUAUUAUACAAUAUACUGCAUA
rnacentral:misc_RNA from 1 species